rnacentral:rRNA from 1 species
UACGUAGGGGGCAAGCGUUGUCCGGAUUCAUUGGGCGUAAAGAGCUCGUAGGCGGCUUGGCAAGUCGGGUGUGAAAACUUCAGGCUCAACCUGGAGCGGCCACUCGAUACUGCCAUGGCUAGAGUCCGGUAGGGGACCACGGAAUUCCUGGUGUAGCGGUGAAAUGCGCAGAUAUCAGGAGGAACACCAGCGGCGAAGGCGGCACUCUGGGCUGGAACUGACGCUGAGGAGCGAAAGCGUGGGUAGCAAACAGG